rnacentral:lncRNA from 10 species
GAAGAAGCAGAAGGAAUGGAAAGCCUGGAGAAAGAGGAUGAAAUGACGGAUGAAGCAGUUGGAGACUCUGCUGAGAAGCCUCCUUCUACUUUUGCCUCACCUGAGACUGCUCCAGAAGUGGAGACCAGCAGAACUCCACCAGCCUGUGAAACCACGAACCCUUCAAUCAAGAAAAGACCUUUGAUCAGGAGAAGACUUCUCGUCUCAUUUCUGGGGACACAUUCAGGAUUUCUCCAAAGCAGGUGAAGGUACGCUCGAGCGUGGUCAUUGAGGACAAGUCGACGAGAGAUCCCGAGUACAUCUACAGUCAGCCUUACGUCUGCAGGUGUACCCAACAGCUCCGAAGAGACAGCGACCAUCGAGAACGGGCCAUGAUGACGAUGGCGGUUUUGUCGAAAAGAAAAGGGGGAAAUGUGGGGAAAAGCAAGAGAGAUCAGAUUGUUACUGUGUCUGUGUAGAAAGAAGUAGACAUGGGAGACUCCAUUUUGUUAUGUGUUAAGAAAAAUUCUUCUGCCUUGAGAUUCUGUUAAUCUAUGACCUUACCCCCAACCCCGUGCUCUCUGAAACGUGUGCUGUGUCAACUCAGGGUUGAAUGGAUUAAGGGCGGUGCAGGAUGUGCUUUGUUAAACAGAUGCUUGAAGGCAGCAUGCUCCUUAAGAGUCAUCACCACUCCCUAAUCUCAAGUACCCAGGGACACAAAAACUGCGGAAGGCCGCAGGGACCUCUGCCUAGGAAAGCCAGGUAUUGUCCAAGGUUUCUCCCCAUGUGAUAGUCUGAAAUAUGGCCUCGUGGGAAGGGAAAGACCUGACCGUCCCCCAGCCCGACACCCGUAAAGGGUCUGUGCUGAGGAGGAUUAGUAUAAGAGGAAGGAAUGCCUCUUGCAGUUGAGACAAGAGGAAGGCAUCUGUCUCCUGCCUGUCCCUGGGCAAUGGAAUGUCUCGGUAUAAAACCCGAUUGUAUGCUCCAUCUACUGAGAUAGGGAAAAACCGCCUUAGGGCUGGAGGUGGGACCUGCGGGCAGCAAUACUGCUUUGUAAAGCACUGAGAUGUUUAUGUGUAUGCAUAUCCAAAAGCACAGCACUUAAUCCUUUACAUUGUCUAUGAUGCCAAGACCUUUGUUCACGUGUUUGUCUGCUGACCCUCUCCCCACAAUUGUCUUGUGACCCUGACACAUCCCCCUCUUUGAGAAACACCCACAGAUGAUCAAUAAAUACUAAGGGAACUCAGAGGCUGGCGGGAUCCUCCAUAUGCUGAACGCUGGUUCCCCGGGUCCCCUUAUUUCUUUCUCUAUACUUUGUCUCUGUGUCUUUUUCUUUUCCAAAUCUCUCGUCCCACCUUACGAGAAACACCCACAGGUGUGUAGGGGCAACCCACCCCUACAGGGAUGCCCUAGGGCUAGUGCUCACUAGGGGAUGACUAGAGGUGCGGGCACUCCUAUGUUCUCCUUUCAGAUGGGAGACAUUCCUUCAAAAGUGAAGCCACUCCUG